GUUAAAAAGCUCGUAGUUGGAUUCCUGUAUGGAAGGAGUGCCCCUAUCCUUUGGAUGGGGGUUGCUGCCUUCUUUGCAUCUUCCGGAGUAGGUGUUCCUCACUUAACUGUGAGGACAUUCGCGCUCUGGACAUUUACUUUGAGGAAAAGAGAGUGCUUCAAGCAGGCAACCGCCUGAAUACGUUAGCAUGGAAUAAUAGCAUCGGAUCAUCGUACAGCUGCUGGUGUCUGGGCGAGGAUAAAGGUGAACAGGGAUUGUUGGGGGCAUUCGUAUUUAACUGUCAGAGGUGAAAUUCUUGGAUUUGUUGAAGACGAGCUACUGCGAAAGCAUUUGCCAAAGAUGUUCUCAUUGAUCAAGAACGAAAGUUAGGUGAUCGAAGACGAUCAGAUACCGUCCUAGUCUUAACCAUAAACUAUGCCAACUGGAGAUGGGGCGUGUUUCUUCUACUACUCUUCCCUGCCAUCUUGAGAGAAAUCAAAGUCUUUGAGUUCCGGGGGGAGUAUGGUCGCAAGGCUGAAACUUUAAAGGA
rnacentral:rRNA from 1 species